GUUUACCUUGUGUAGGUGGACCACGCAACUGCUGUACAACGCCGAGCCCAGCUAUCGUUGAAAGACGCUUGAUCUGCGCAUGCUGCACCAGUUCUUCUGAUUGCGAGCAAAUAGCGGAUCACCAAUCUAGAGGCCUUGGAUCUGGGCCUGUCAUCUGAAAAUAUCGCGCGUGCGUUCUCCCCUUCGCACUGCGCUGUCAACGGCAUCGACAAGUGCGGCACCCCGUGGUCCAUGGUUACCUACAAGUAGCUGCGGCGACGACGGACUUGCGGGAUUUGCGGCCGUGUACUCGAUGUUAACGGUGGCUGUUUACCUUGUGUAGGUAAGUGUGUAGCACCUUUUUUCACCUCGAUUAUUACCAUUGUCACUGGCUGCAAAUCCCAACUUUCUAUUAUUUCUUGUUUGCUAUGGGUGUUGAUGUGUGUACGUAUCGCGCGCGCAUAGGACGCUUCCUUGCGCGCCACAUACAACUCAAACAGCAAUUCGCUGUCUGGCUCCGUUCAACGGCGUUUUUUGGUUACUGGAGACCAGGAUGCCGUCUACUUGUAGUUUUGUUCAGUGUUGCACACAUACUGCUUUGCGCUGGUGACAUCGAAACAAAUCCAGGGCCUGACAAAGUAGAGCAGCUAUUAGUUUUGGUGAAAGAUAUAGGACAGACAAUUGACAAAUUCCA